rnacentral:rRNA from 1 species
UUAAGCGACUAAGCGUACACGGUGGAUGCCCUGGCAGUCAGAGGCGAUGAAGGACGUGCUAAUCUGCGAUAAGCGUCGGUAAGGUGAUAUGAACCGUUAUAACCGGCGAUUUCCGAAUGGGGAAACCCAGUGUGAUUCGACACACUAUCAUUAACUGAAUCCAUAGGUUAAUGAGGCGAACCGGGGGAACUGAAACAUCUAAGUACCCCGAGGAAAAGAAAUCAACCGAGAUUCCCCCAGUAGCGGCGAGCGAACGGGGAGCAGCCCAGAGCCUGAAUCAGUGUGUGUGUUAGUGGAAGCGUCUGGAAAGGCGCGCGAUACAGGGUGACAGCCCCGUACACAAAAAUGCACAUACUGUGAGCUCGAUGAGUAGGGCGGGACACGUGGUAUCCUGUCUGAAUAUGGGGGGACCAUCCUCCAAGGCUAAAUACUCCUGACUGACCGAUAGUGAACCAGUACCGUGAGGGAAAGGCGAAAAGAACCCCGGCGAGGGGAGUGAAAAAGAACCUGAAACCGUGUACGUACAAGCAGUGGGAGCACGCUUAGGCGUGUGACUGCGUACUUUUUGUAUAAUGGGUCAGCGACUUAUAUUCUGUAGCAAGGUUAACCGAAUAGGGGAGCCGAAGGGAAACCGAGUCUUAACUGGGCGUUAAGUUGCAGGGUAUAGACCCGAAACCCGGUGAUCUAGCCAUGGGCAGGUUGAAGGUUGGGUAACACUAACUGGAGGACCGAACCGACUAAUGUUGAAAAAUUAGCGGAUGACUUGUGGCUGGGGGUGAAAGGCCAAUCAAACCGGGAGAUAGCUGGUUCUCCCCGAAAGCUAUUUAGGUAGCGCCUCGUGAAUUCAUCUCCGGGGGUAGAGCACUGUUUCGGCAAGGGGGUCAUCCCGACUUACCAACCCGAUGCAAACUGCGAAUACCGGAGAAUGUUAUCACGGGAGACACACGGCGGGUGCUAACGUCCGUCGUGAAGAGGGAAACAACCCAGACCGCCAGCUAAGGUCCCAAAGUCAUGGUUAAGUGGGAAACGAUGUGGGAAGGCCCAGACAGCCAGGAUGUUGGCUUAGAAGCAGCCAUCAUUUAAAGAAAGCGUAAUAGCUCACUGGUCGAGUCGGCCUGCGCGGAAGAUGUAACGGGGCUAAACCAUGCACCGAAGCUGCGGCAGCGACACUGUGUGUUGUUGGGUAGGGGAGCGUUCUGUAAGCCUGCGAAGGUGUGCUGUGAGGCAUGCUGGAGGUAUCAGAAGUGCGAAUGCUGACAUAAGUAACGAUAAAGCGGGUGAAAAGCCCGCUCGCCGGAAGACCAAGGGUUCCUGUCCAACGUUAAUCGGGGCAGGGUGAGUCGACCCCUAAGGCGAGGCCGAAAGGCGUAGUCGAUGGGAAACAGGUUAAUAUUCCUGUACUUGGUGUUACUGCGAAGGGGGGACGGAGAAGGCUAUGUUGGCCGGGCGACGGUUGUCCCGGUUUAAGCGUGUAGGCUGGUUUUCCAGGCAAAUCCGGAAAAUCAAGGCUGAGGCGUGAUGACGAGGCACUACGGUGCUGAAGCAACAAAUGCCCUGCUUCCAGGAAAAGCCUCUAAGCAUCAGGUAACAUCAAAUCGUACCCCAAACCGACACAGGUGGUCAGGUAGAGAAUACCAAGGCGCUUGAGAGAACUCGGGUGAAGGAACUAGGCAAAAUGGUGCCGUAACUUCGGGAGAAGGCACGCUGAUAUGUAGGUGAAGUCCCUCGCGGAUGGAGCUGAAAUCAGUCGAAGAUACCAGCUGGCUGCAACUGUUUAUUAAAAACACAGCACUGUGCAAACACGAAAGUGGACGUAUACGGUGUGACGCCUGCCCGGUGCCGGAAGGUUAAUUGAUGGGGUCAGCGCAAGCGAAGCUCUUGAUCGAAGCCCCGGUAAACGGCGGCCGUAACUAUAACGGUCCUAAGGUAGCGAAAUUCCUUGUCGGGUAAGUUCCGACCUGCACGAAUGGCGUAAUGAUGGCCAGGCUGUCUCCACCCGAGACUCAGUGAAAUUGAACUCGCUGUGAAGAUGCAGUGUACCCGCGGCAAGACGGAAAGACCCCGUGAACCUUUACUAUAGCUUGACACUGAACAUUGAGCCUUGAUGUGUAGGAUAGGUGGGAGGCUUUGAAGUGUGGACGCCAGUCUGCAUGGAGCCGGCCUUGAAAUACCACCCUUUAAUGUUUGAUGUUCUAACGUUGACCCGUGAUCCGGGUUGCGGACAGUGUCUGGUGGGUAGUUUGACUGGGGCGGUCUCCUCCUAAAGAGUAACGGAGGAGCACGAAGGUUGGCUAAUCCUGGUCGGACAUCAGGAGGUUAGUGCAAUGGCAUAAGCCAGCUUGACUGCGAGCGUGACGGCGCGAGCAGGUGCGAAAGCAGGUCAUAGUGAUCCGGUGGUUCUGAAUGGAAGGGCCAUCGCUCAACGGAUAAAAGGUACUCCGGGGAUAACAGGCUGAUACCGCCCAAGAGUUCAUAUCGACGGCGGUGUUUGGCACCUCGAUGUCGGCUCAUCACAUCCUGGGGCUGAAGUAGGUCCCAAGGGUAUGGCUGUUCGCCAUUUAAAGUGGUACGCGAGCUGGGUUUAGAACGUCGUGAGACAGUUCGGUCCCUAUCUGCCGUGGGCGCUGGAGAACUGAGGGGGGCUGCUCCUAGUACGAGAGGACCGGAGUGGACGCAUCACUGGUGUUCGGGUUGUCAUGCCAAUGGCACUGCCCGGUAGCUAAAUGCGGAAGAGAUAAGUGCUGAAAGCAUCUAAGCACGAAACUUGCCCCGAGAUGAGUUCUCCCUGACUCCUUGAGAGUCCUGAAGGAACGUUGAAGACGACGACGUUGAUAGGCCGGGUGUGUAAGCGCAGCGAUGCGUUGAGCUAACCGGUACUAAUGAACCGUGAGGCUUAACCUU